rnacentral:rRNA from 1 species
AAUCUUGCGCAAUGGAGGGAACUCUGACGCAGCGACGUCGCGUGAGCGAAGAAGGUCNNNGGAUCNUCAAGCUCUGUCUUUGGNGAANAAGGAAGUGACGGUACCCAAGGAGGAAGCCCCGGCUAACUACGUGCCAGCAGCCGCGGUAACACGUAGGGGGCAAGCGUUGUCCGGAAUUACUGGGCGUAAAGGGUGCGUAGGCGGUAUAUUAAGUCAGGUGUGAAACCCCACGGCUCAACUGUGGGCUUGCACAUGAAACUGGUAUGCUUGAGUACAGGAGAGGAAAGCGGAAUUCCUAGUGUAGUGGUGAAAUGCGUAGAUAUUAGGAAGAACACCAGUGGCGAAGGCGGCUUUCUGGACUGUAACUGACGCUGAGGCACGAAAGCGUGGGGAGCAAACA